CAAAAACCCUUCAGCAGACUUUUGUUUGUUAGGUAUUGAGCAUGGAGGAAAAGAACUUUAGUGUUCUGCUCCUGCUUUAAACUUGCUGCAUAACCGCAAGCUAUUGCUAGGUCUAUGGAAGUGGUAUUUACAUAUUUUUCCAAUACGAUUAAGCUAGCUUUGCGGCGUUAAACCAAUGUUGCCUACUAAAGCAACUGAA
rnacentral:misc_RNA from 1 species